CUUAGGAGUCGGAUUGUCUGGAAAGAUGCUCUGGAGCUGUCACAACACAGGGGAGGAACAGACGCACUCAGCCCCUCUUGAUGCAGUUCUCGACUGUCAGAGGAUCACACUGCUCCCCAAGUGCAAACUCAAGUGCUGAGCCGAGCUUUUGAUCCUCAGGAGAUACUCCUGGUGUCAAUUUUCUUAAUAGUUCCUGGAGACAAGAGAGCUCUUCCUGGAGGCCAGAGACUGUAACUGCUGAGGAGCCCAUCUGGGGAGGAGAGAAAGAAGGGCACAAAGGUGACAAGAGGCUGUGGAUUCCUUUCAAGUUACCAUGGUUUGAUUUGAGCAAGACCUCCCAAGAGGUCUCCAAUGGGAGUGAUGGCCCAGGUGAUCCAAUAUCCAAAACAGUUUCCAGGCUGCUGGCUGAGAUGGACCAACCAUACAAAAUACCCCAGUCAGGGUAUUCUAAAUUUUCUCAAGUAUCCCAUGAGAUUACCAACACCCCCAAUCAGCCAGAAGUAGAAUAAAAAACUACGCCUAAAUUACCAAAAUGUUAUUUAUGAAUGUUUGUUUUCAUUUAAAGGGGGUUGGUUAUUAACGAUCAUAGUCAAUCUCUUUCUAGAGAAAAAAGGAUAUGAUAUGAAAACAAUUUUUAAAAAGGUAGAUUAUUAAAUCUACUUUAAUACAAAAACAACUGUUAACCUCAAAAAAUUGGUAUAUAUUUUGAUUUACUGGUAUAAAUUUAAGGUCAAUUUUCUUUAUUUCUAUAUGUAUAUUUCUAUUCUCGUUUAAAGUAUUAUGUUUAUGUAGUUCAUUUAAAAUAUAAUGUAUAGGUAAAAAUACAAAUGAAUAGUCAUCUAUCAUAGUCAAACGUCACAUUAGUCAGGUUUUCUAGAGAUGGAGAGAUAGGUCAUCUUCAAACACUUCAAAGAUCUAUAGAAUAUGGCAUUUAAAAUGUUUUAAUAAACUUAGAAUUCUUUGGAUGUGAAACAUCUGCUCCUUAUGGAGUUUGCUUUCAAUGUGGUGAGACAAGACAUUUGGGCGAGAAACUGCUCUUUACUGGACUGUUUAACAAGAUGCUAUAUAAAUUGAACAUGCAGGACCCAUAGGAAAAUGACUGCUGAACUUGCCAAGACAAGGUGGGACAGUCCUUCAGGGUUCCUGCUUCAUGAAAGAGUCUGCCAGACAUUCUGUAGGACACAGAAGAAAGUGACUGAUGAAUUUUGCAAAAAUAAGUAGGACAGUCCUUCAAAUUUCCUGCUUCACUGAGAAAUCUGCCAGAUACUCGAGGCCUAUAGGCUGAAGAUGGAUGCCCCAACAUUGAAGAAGAACUUUGGACAACUGUCCAUUAAGUCAGAUAUCUCUGUCAUUUCUAGAGUUUUGGAAAAUGCUUACAAUGCACUUCCUGUUUGAUUAGGUAAUAUUAGAUCCUUCUCGGGUCUUUGAUUGAGUUGAAGACUAAACAGUUAUAAUUACAGUUUUCCUUAGUUAAGAUAAAAGAUAAAUAUAAAACUUUAGACUCACAAAGAUAAAACAGAUGAUGGAGUAUUUAAUUUUGUCAAAUACAAAUAGACUAAAUAUUUUAACUGCAAUUCUUGCUUGAUAACUGUUUUGUUAUAUGUAAUUGUACUAUAUUAAAGUUAAAAACCUUUCUUUUUAAUUAGACAGAAAAGGGAGAUGAUAUGGGAUGUCCCUCUGUAUGCUGUGAAUAUGUUUUAUUUUUUUACCACUGGUUAAUAAAGAAGCUGCUCUGGCCUAUGGCAGAGGAGAAUAUAGCUAGGCAGGAAAUCCAAGCAGAGAGAGAGGGAGAAAGAAGAUGGAGUCAGAGAGAUGCCAGCAGUCGCUGGAGGAGUAAGAUGCCAGAACAUUAUUAGUAAGCCACGGGGCAGGUAGCAAUACACAGAUUACUAGAAAUGGGUUAAUUUUUAUGUAGAGCUAGUCAGUAAGAAGCCUGAGCCAUUGGCCAAUUAUAGUUACUAUUAAGCCUCAGAAUGAUUAUUUCCUAAGUGGCUGUGGGGAUCAGUCCAGAGGGACUGGGUAGAGACAGUCUCCAGCUACAGUCUCCCCUCUAUCAGGGCUGCUCCUGAAGAGCACUGCCUCCCACUCUGAUUGUUUACCAUAGGUAUUCCUCCUGCCUGUAAUGACCACUUCCAGUGUGCCUGGUGAACAAUUCUUCACCCUUCAUAGCAAAGCUCUCCUCUGAGUCUUCCCCAGGACAGUCCCUCCUUCCUAUGGAUCUCUCCUCACCUGUUCUAUAGAACUCUAUUAGAGACACCACCUGCAGGAGGAAGAGACAGGCAGAUCCCUGAGGGUGCCAAACCAACUGAGGCUACCAGUGAGACUGAAAAAUCAACAGGAAACAAGACACUACACUAUGUCUGUUUUGCUCUAUAUCUUUAAAUGUCCAUUUUAUUCUAGUGCUCUACAAGAAAGAAUCAUGCUUUAUGCAACAUGGCCCAGUGCCUAUUAUAUGAUCAAUAAUCAAUAAAUCCAUGCUAAGUGAAGUUAUAAUUUUUAUUAAAGGAUUAUGUAUAGCAAUACGAAUAAUUUGCUUUGUUUUCUUGCUUUUUUAGACAAGGUCUCACUGGAUAACUCACAGUAAACCUCCUGACAGACAUGCCUCAACAUCUAGCCAAAUGACUUUAAGAUAUAUAGGCUUUAGGGGUUGGGAAUGCAGCUUAGGUGGCAGAGUGCUUGCCUAGCAUUAACGAAGCCCUGAUUUUUAUUUGCAGUAUCAGAUAAACUGGGUAUAGUGGUAUACUCCAAUAACUAUGGACAAUCCUGGCACCCAGAGGAUGAUGAGAAGUUUAAGGUCAUUCUCAGCUACAAAGUAAGUUGGAGGCCAGACUGGGCUAAUUGAGACUCCAUAUUGAAGAGAGAGAGAGAGAGAGAGAGAGAGAGAGAGAGAGAGAGAGAGAGAGAGAGAGAGAGAGACAGACAGAGAGAGAGAGA